rnacentral:rRNA from 1 species
UACGAGGGGGGCGAGCGUUGUUCGGAAUUAUUGGGCGUAAAGGGUGCGUAGGCGGUUCGGUAAGUUUUGUGUGAAAUCUUCGGGCUUAACUCGAAGUCUGCACAAAAUACUGCCGGGCUUGAGUAUGGGAGAGGUGAGUGGAAUUUCCGGUGUAGCAGUGAAAUGCGUAGAUAUCGGAAGGAACACCUGUGGCGAAAGCGGCUCACUGGACCAUAACUGACGCUGAGGCACGAAAGCUAGGGGAGCAAACAGG